rfam:Ovis aries breed Texel chromosome 6, whole genome shotgun sequence.
GCCUUCUUAGCGCAGCAGGCAGCGCAUCAGUCUCAUAAUCUGCAGCUUCUGAGUUCGAACCCCAGAGGGCGCA